rfam:Myotis lucifugus cont2.6286, whole genome shotgun sequence.
GCCGGGCGUGGUGGCGCGCGCCUGUAGUCCCAGCUACUCGGGAGGCUGAGGCUGGAGGAUCGCUUGAGCCCGGGAGUUCUGGGCUAUAGUGCGCUAUGCCGAUCGGGUGUCCGCACUAAGUUCGGCCUCAAUAUGGUGACCUCGCGGGAGCGGGGGAUACCAGGUUGCCUAAGGAGAGGUGAACCGGCCCAAGUCGGAGACGGAGCAGGUCAAAGCUCCCGUGCUGAUCAGUAGUGGGAUCACGCCUGUGAAUAGCCACUGCACUCCAGCCUGGGCAACAUAGCAAGACCCCGUCUCUA